rnacentral:lncRNA from 1 species
GGGUUUCUUCCAUGUCCCUUUUUUAUUUUCAUUUAUUUUCAAUGAUCGUUUAAGAGAGAAAAUUAGCCUGAAUGGCCUGAUUAAAUUAUAUCACAAAAUAAGAAUUCAUUACUAUAAAGCACUAAGCAUUAUGUUUCUCGUAGUAUGAAGAAGUGUUGUAAACAAGACUAUUUUCCAUUGAACAGAGGAUCUAUCACAAACAAUCUCUCUACCAGAGGUAAGGGUAAGGUUUGCG